AGCCCCUCCUCUUCCGGCCUUUUACCGCGGGCGCCGGCGGUGCGUCACGUCAAAAACCACCCGUAUGACGUCUCCUCCCGAGUCUGGACACCCCUGGGUUCCGGUCUGAGGUCGGGCCCACAAGAUUAACACGGCCUGGCCCCAGUAUAAACAGGAUCAUGGCUCUCGGCCGCCUUAAAUGGCACUUGAAUUCAGCAUUCUCCAGGACCUUAACGGUUUCUGCCACCGCAAUGCUCCAAGAUUCCCAGCCCCUGGAGUACAUACCUCCUCCCAUGUGUGGCAGAGUAAUGUGGAAGGUGCUGCUCUGAAGGGAUUUUUUAUCUUAUAGACUCAAAGCUCCUAACCAGCUGAUUUAACUUGAGGAAAUUAGACAAGCCUGACCUACUCAGGUGAUUCCUUAAAAGAGAGAGAGAGAGACUGAAAUAGCAAACAACCAUGUUGUGUGAACUGUCUACGUAGAGAACCUUGUGGCAAAGGAACUCCAGGUGGCCUAUAGAAGUUAAGGACCUCAGUCCUACAACCCCAGGGAAUAAAUCUUGCUGACAACCUGAAUGAGCUUGGAAGUGGAUUAGUCCCUAGGAAAGCCUCCAGAUGAUAAUGCAGCCCAGCUGGCAGCUUCAUUACAGCUCUCGAGAUCCUGAGCAGCAGAAGCAGAUGAAGGAACUGAGACUAUGAAGGACCAUUACUUCCCCAAAGUUCACAACUCAUAAUAGAACUACCAGGGAAAUGGCCAGGAACUACAUAACCUGCAUCUCCUGCCCUCUCCUUUACUCCAUCAGAUCUGUAACAAAGAGGCUGGUCCUGGGAGAGAUCAUCUGGUUCAACAGAAACCAAGCAGAGAUGAUGACUCCAAGACUGUGAAAGUCAAAUGGAAAUAGGCCUGUGAUCCGCUCAACAUUUGCUAUACUCCUUGUCCUUCACCCAGACUAAAUAAAAGGCCAGCUUUCUUUAUUUCAAGCUGAGAUAAAAUUUCCAAGUGUUGUCACCAAUUAUUUCUUUUUUUUUUUCCCAGAAACAACCACUGCUAAAUUUAAUUUCAGAAUUUUUAAAUGCACAGAUAGGUAGAUUAUUAAAAAUCAU